UGGGUCUGAGCAUGAUGACUUUGCAGGAGCAGCUCCAGGGGAGGUGUCUGGGUGCAGGCAGCUGUCUGAAGCCAGCAGGAAGCAGCAGUUAGGAAAAAGAGUGAUGGGGUGGCCAGAUUUGGAGUUGGAAGUGAAGAAGUUCAGGUCGAAAGAGAGCGGGCUGAAGGAAGAGACCAGGACAGAGCUCCAGAAAAAUGCAAGAUGAAGAAGGAGAAAGAGAAGGUGCUUCUCUUUUCUUCUGGGUGAAGUGGAUUGGGGUGAUCUGCUGGAGGAGAGACCUGCAGUGUAGGUAGAGGCACAGGUCAGGAGAGAACCAACUCCAGAGACCAGGGAAGGCUGAGCAGUCAAAGAUGACGUCUGAGAAGUUACCGGAUGUGAGCUGAUCAGAAGCCAAUUGCUAGAUGCCGCGACCGCCUGGACCAGCAAGGAUGACGCAACACCGGAGCUCUUCUUGCAAGCAGUUUAUUCAGGACCUUGAACAGCGAUCUCUCUCCUCGGGCAAGCCUCUCCAAGCCCUUAAAUAGGUAUGGACCACCAACCCUGGAUUGCUACGUAGGCACCGUCCAUAGGUCCAACACAUACGCAAGCGCUUACGAUCAUCUGGCCUUAGCCAUAUGUGGAGUUGUUUUUCGAAGAGAGCGCUGGCUUUCAGGAUCGCGGAGGGCGGGAGGCAGCGCCAUCUUUAAAGCGCGGCUCCACGCAGCUCUCUACAGCUAGAUAUUAUUCAGUGUUUCCAUUUUUUUUGAAAAUUAACAUGGUGACACCUUUAAUCUCACCAUUUGGAAGGCAGAGGCAGGUGGACCUCUCUGAGUUUGAGGCCAACCUGGUGAGACCUUAUCCUUAAACAAAAAUAAGGUAAAAAUAGAAUAGGCACAGGAUUUGCACUCAUCAACCCUUUAUUUUCCUCAUUUUUCCACUUAGCCAUUUAUCUUGUCUGUCUUCUAGAAGCCACAGAGAUUUUAAAUUCUUGCUAGAGACUGCCAGCACCUGUAGCACCCUUAUUUCUGCAUCUAGUUACCCUUGAACUUUCAUUUCUUAAAUGAAAUAAACUUAUUUACUACAUAAGUAAGCUUCCAGCUUCCCUUCCUGUCCAGUGGCACCUGAUUUACAAAAAGGGGGACUAUGGUUGUUUCACUUAGAAGUUCCUGAUCCACUGACCUCAAGGUGGAGGUGGAGGCCACUCUGAGAAGGAAUGGAGAACUGUAAGCACUUCUUUUUUUUGCAGGCACAAAACUACACAUGUGCAUUUUGGAACAAUGUCAGGCCUAUUUCUGAGUCCUGAAGCUCCUAAGAUGCCAGUAAGGGAUGUGGAAAUGCCCCAUAUUUUUUGUUGCCUGGAGUUAAAGUAUACAUAAACUGGUAUAUAUGAUUCUUACCUUAUUGAAGAAGGGUCUGAAAUGGCACCUUUCUCCCAAACAUGAACAAUACUUAUUAUAUUUAUGUUGCUGUAACAAAACAAGUUAGUGAAGACCAUAGAUUUAUUUCUUAUAGUUCGGAGAGCUGUUGAGGUCAAGGUUAAGGCCAACAUACUAGCUGAUUCAGUGUGUGGUGAAGGCUUGUUUGCUGUUUACACAGUAGCACCAGAAGGACUCUGUGCUCACAUGGUAGAUGACAGAAGGACAAAAGCUCAUCUAAUUCCCCUGAGUCUUUUCACACAGGUGUUGAUUUCCUUGAUGAGAGCCGGGCCCUUCAUGACUUAAUCAGUUAUUAAAGGGCCCCUGCAUCUUAAUCCUGAGUUUAAACUUUGGCCUACAUCCAAACAAUAGGGAUUUUCUAUAUACAAGAUAUUUCUUCAUGUGAGUUUGCGUAUUUGUGUGUGUAUAUGUGUACACAGGUAUGUGUGCAUCCAUGUGGAGGUCAGAGGUUGAUGUCAGGGAAUAUUCUUUGAUCACUGUCUACCUUAUGUUUUGAGACAGGGUCUCUCACUGGACUUGAAGUGAACUGAUUGUCUAGACUGGCUAGUUGUCAAACCCCAGGGGUCUUCCUUUCUUCACCUCCUCGACAAUGGGAUUGCAAAUGUGAUACCAUGCCUGGAAUUUUAAUUGGGUGCUGGGGAUCCAAACUCUAAGUGAACCAUUUCCUCAGAGCCAACUACAUUAGAUAGUCAUGUUAAUAUCAUGAGAUGUUAAAAAAAAACCUAAGAUUGUGUAGAUAUAAAAGCAAUGUCCAUUCUAGGAGCAAGAGACCUGCCUUUUCUGGCUAACCUGAUGGAUCUAGGUGACCCACAGCUAUACAAUUUGGCCAUGCUAUUGGUAACAUUUGCCAUUUUUCUUGGGGUUGUAUAAAGUCUCCCAGUGACUACAGUUCCCUUGGUGGCCAUUUGAGUCACAGGGAAGAAAAAUAAUCUCCAGAAAGCACAGAAUGAAUAAUGGCAGCAUGGGGAAGAGAUGCUCAUGGUUAUGACCCACUCACAGAUUUUUGAAAUAUAGGUCAGAUGGAGAGGAAGUGAAACUUCCUGUUGAAGUUUCAUUUAUAGCAUGUGUCUGGAAAUUGCUAAAUGUAAUUUCUUGGUGUAAAAUAAACUGCAGAAAUCUGGGUUGUGUCCGUCUGCUGUAUGUUUAUGGAAGCCAUUCUGUCUGAAGCUGAGAUGCUGUGAAAUUAUAUAGUGGCAUGAACAGCCACAAUUAGUGUAACAGAUGUGACCCUCUUCUCCAACUCAGAAGCUGUCAGGAUCUCAGCAACCGGAUCCAGAAACUAUCUGGGAAUUCCUAAAAUCCAUACAAUGCUACCCAUGUGAAGGACAACAUCAACGUUUUAUUUGCUACACAUUCGUUUGUGUGUCUUAGUACUUUCUACUUUCCUUUUUUAGUGACUUAAAAACAAUAAGCAUGGGGCUAGAAUGAUAGUUCACUUGGUAAUGUGUUAGCAUUGAGGUUGAGAUAAGAGGAUUUGAGGUCCUGUCAAAUGGAUGAAUUCCAAGUCCCAGUGAGAGACCCAAUCUCAAAAGUAAGGUGGUAAAAAAAAAAAAAAAAAAAAAAAAAAAAAAGGGC